ensembl:snoRNA
AAGCCAACCAAUUAAUCUGCUCAUCUGAAUGGGUUUCUGCAGAAACUUAGAACAGAGCUGGCAAUAGUGAUACCAUUUUAUGAGCCUUAAGGACAGCUGAGGUCAUUUUGGUCCCUCGAAAUGACUACAACA